UGAUAAAAAUUACUCCAAGCUUGUGCUCC
rnacentral:piRNA from 1 species